rnacentral:rRNA from 1 species
UACGUAGGGUGCAGGCGUUAAUCGGAAUUACUGGGCGUAAAGCGUGCGCAGGCGGCUCCUUAAGUCAGAUGUGAAAUCCCCGGGCUUAACCUGGGAACUGCGUUUGAAACUGAGGGGCUAGAGUGUGGAAGAGGGGGGGUGGAAUUCCAGGUGUAGCAGUGAAAUGCGUAGAGAUGUGGAGGAACACCGAUGGCGAAGGCAGCCCCCCUGGGUCAACACUGACGCUCAUGCACGAAAGCGUGGGGAGCAAACAGG